GGAUCAAGAAAAGAAUGUGGCCACCUUCCAAGGCUCAGAGUAGCUGUGCAAUGACUUGUGUCAAAACCCGAUCCAGAGCAGCAGUGAUGAAAUCACCCUCUCCUUUAAGACCUGGCAUUACAAUGGCCUCAUCCUGCAUGUGGGCAAGUCAGCUCUCUGAUGGAUGGUGCAAUUUCCUUGGUCAUUAACCUGAGGUCUGGGGCCUUUAAAGCUAUUGAGGAGCCAGUGAAUGGAGAAUUCGACAACGCCUGGCAUGAUUGAGGGUGACACAUCACGG
rnacentral:lncRNA from 1 species